AGGUACCACAAGGAGUGGGCCGAUAUAUUCCAUCUUCACACCAGACCUUGGGUUAAUAAAAAUGUUGUGAUUUGUGUAAUUUGAAGACAAUCGGACUAUUACAUCACAUUUUAUAAGAGUUAUAGUAAUUCAAAAUGUUGACCCUUUGUGGGGGAGGUACUUGAUGGAGUGGACCGAUAUUGUCCAUUUUCACACCUAACCUGACACUGAUGCAAGUAUUAGGAUUUGAAAAGUUGGAGCAAAAUCUGUUUAUACUUUCUCUUUCUGUGCAAUAAAUAAUUUUCUUUGAAAAAGUUGACUUUUGUACCAGAAGGAGUGGACCGAUAUUGCCCAUCUCCGAACUCGAUUUAAGUUUGACAAUAAUAUUACGAUGCACCAAGUUUGGAUCAAAUCGGAUACUCUCUUCGACAAUUAUCGUGCACACCAGCGGACGGACGGACAUCGCUAGAUUGAUUCCAAAUGUCCUGAAGGCCUAGGGUCUAAAACCGUUAUUUCGAUGAGGCACGUUUUGGACGUAUGACGUAUGGUAUACAAAUUGAGUAGCAUUUCACACGUUAGCAAACUUUCCAAUUGGACCGACUGUACCUGUAACAACCGUAUUCUAGAAAAACGAAAUAAAAUCGCUGUGUUGACCAUUAAGUGGCGUUGCCGGUAUGCUGGCGUUUAGCGCGGCUAUGGCUCGUCGGAUUGGGGGUUGGUUCUUGCCACUUGCAGAUCUUUUCGGUUGAACAAACAAAAAAAAUCAUACCGGACUUCAAACUAAAUUAAAAAGGGGGGCUUAACGGCGGGCACCCAGAGUGUAGAACCUUGGCGGCAGCUUGUGACUAAGGCUUUUUCCCAAAACCUGAGGACGAACAAAAGAAUGUAGGUCGAUACCACAUUAAAUCGACAAUCUAACCAAUGCCGGGUAACCUAACCUUGAAUUGAGCUCAGUUCAAUGUCGCGUACCUGCAUACCAACACAAAGAAAAACCGCGGAAUUUAAUUAUGUAGCUUAGUCGUCCGUCUGUCUGUCCGGAGUUAAAUAAGUUGCAGUGUCAAUUGGGAAUGAUACCAAGCCACGCUGGAGCAGCAAUGGCGCAAAAUCAGCGGCUCCCUCGAUGGAUUGGAUGGGCGAUGGUGUGGCUUGCAGGCUCCAAUUCUUCAGGAAUUUCUAGGUUUAAGAUUUAUUUUCUUGCUUUAGAUUUUUAGUUAAUUGUUUUGGUUUUUUUUUUCAAUUUUGUUAAAUUGUUUCCAAACUUUCUUAAAUUUUAAAAAAAGUUCAAUUUUAUUUUUAAUUUUCGAUUUUUGUGAAAAACUAUUUGUUUUGUUAUAAGUUUUCUUUCAACUUUUAGCCUUUCGUUGUUAAAUUUUGUUAAAUUAUUUUAAGGCUUCCAAUUUUGUUAAAAAAGUUUGUAUUUCGUGUUGUUUGUAUAUAUGUCUCAAACAAAUAAAAACAUUGAAUUCACUUCUCAACAAGUGGUUCACCACCAAAAACUUUGUCGUUUUUUUUUUUUUCUUCGCUGGUUACUGGGAGCCACACAUCCAAUCUUCUUCACAGGCAAAAUCAAAAAGGAAAGAUUUUUCUUACAAUUUUUGCCAGGAAAUUCUGGCUGCCAUUUUCCUCGCUUAAUUUUUCCAUUUUCUUUUUACAUUAUUCCCUAAUAUUGACAUUUAGGUAAUUGGAAUAAUCAGCUGUUUUUUAGUAAUUGUUCUUCUUCUUCUUCUUCUAGCUAUCAAUUAUUUUCAGGGUUACCCCUUUUAAAGGCGCAC